GUUUGGAUACCUCUAAAAAUAUAGCACGCCGGUAGGAAAAUAAUCCUAUGAAGCGUUUAGAAGAAAAAAAAAUGACGUAAUUUUUGGAGUAUAGUUAUACUAUACUCAAAAAAAUGGAGUAAACUUAUAAUUCACUUUAACCAAAGAAAAAAAAUUCCACCAUUUUGGGCUCCCAAAUAUAUAUUAAUUUUUAAAUUUUAAAUUUCAACAUAAAAUUUUAAAUUUCAAAUCUA
rnacentral:lncRNA from 1 species